AUCUGAUAUGUUCCCUUCCAGAUGGAUUAGGGUUCCAACUUCUGAUCCGAUAUGUUCCCUUCCAGAUGGAUUGGGCCAGUUAGUUUCCUUCAUACGUGGCCUUUGGGACUUGACUAGAUAAUGUCGUAAAAAACAGUAAAAAAUAAAAAAUAAAACGCGCCAACAGCAGAAAGAAAUCCUUUCGUUUCUGAGUCUUCAGUCGGAGUCGUCUCAUCCACCUCCCAAUCUCAUCCACUCCGCUGUUACUUUACAGUGUUCCAAAGUAGCAAGAUGCAGAACAAGGAGACAGUUAUCACUGAGCUUUACAUUCCCAGAAAAUGUGCAUCUCGGCCACCCACAGGCUGAUCACUUUGAAGAACGAUGCGUCCGUUCAGAUUUGAUAAGCCCAGUCCAGUUCAAUCUGCAAACGCAAAUCCACAGUCCCCAUCAGCAACAAUUCAAAGUUCUCACUCCCGCUCAAAUCCACAGCAACUUGUUUGAGUAAAGAUCAAUCUGAUUAGCAGACGUCUUUCAAGCACAGUCCAUCCUCAUCACAACUCCAUCUAUCUGUUCAACAAUUCGUUUGACAGAUUUUGUAUACAUUUAAACUACUUGUAUUUAUCUCAAAGUGUUACAACCUAAUCAUUGUAAAGUCUAUACAAUGAAUGAGAAAGCUGGCUCAU